GCCUGCAUACCCAUGCAUCCGCCCGAGAACUACGAGCACAAACGCUUAAAACUCUAAGGACUUGGCGGUGCCCCAAACCCACCUAGAGGAGCCUGUUCUGUAAUCGAUAAUCCACGAUUCACCCAACCACCCCUUGCCAACACAGCCUACAUACCGCCGUCGCCAGCUCACCUAAAAUGAAAGACCAACAGUGGGCCCAACAGUCUACCACUAACAAGACAGGUCAAGGUAUAGCCCAUGAGGUGGAAGAAAUGGGCUACAUUUUCUAUCAGUAGAACAAACGAAAAAGGACGUGAAACUCGUCCUUGGAAGGAGGAUUUAGCAGUAAAGUAGGACCAUACUUUUCCAAGCCUACUUUAAGACGGCCCUGGGGCACGUACAUACCGCCCGUCACCCUCUUCGUAGGCUACCAAUACUAAUAAAUAAUACCUUUAUCAAGCCAAAGACGAGGUAAGUCGUAACAAGGUAAGCGUACCGGAAGGUGCGCUUAGACCAC
rnacentral:rRNA from 1 species